GGGUUGUGAGGUUAAGCGACCAAGCGUACACGGUGGAUGCCCUGGCAGUCAGAGGCGAUGAAGGACGUGCUAAUCUGCGAAAAGCGCCGGUAAGGUGAUAUGAACCGUUAUAACCGGCGAUGUCCGAAUGGGGAAACCCAGUGUGACUCGUCACACUAUCAUUAACUGAAUCCAUAGGUUAAUGAGGCGAACCGGGGGAACUGAAACAUCUAAGUACCCCGAGGAAAAGAAAUCAACCGAGAUUCCCCCAGUAGCGGCGAGCGAACGGGGAGGAGCCCAGAGCCUGAAUCAGCAUGUGUGUUAGUGGAAGCGUCUGGAAAGGCGCGCGAUACAGGGUGACAGCCCCGUACACAAAAGCGCAUGUGCUGUGAGCUCGAUGAGUAGGGCGGGACACGUGGUAUCCUGUCUGAAUAUGGGGGGACCAUCCUCCAAGGCUAAAUACUCCUGACUGACCGAUAGUGAACCAGUACCGUGAGGGAAAGGCGAAAAGAACCCCGGCGAGGGGAGUGAAACAGAACCUGAAACCGUGUACGUACAAGCAGUGGGAGCCCCACCACUAAGCCAGUGGUGAACUCCACAUACGCAUCCUUUGCGGAAGAUACGGUUAACGGAGCGAAAGCGACGUUCAACCGCAAAAGAAGCAGAGGGGGCUUAGUGGUGGGGUGACUGCGUACCUUUUGUAUAAUGGGUCAGCGACUUAUAUUCUGUAGCAAGGUUAACCGUAUAGGGGAGCCGGAGGGAAACCGAGUCUUAACCGGGCGUUAAGUUGCAGGGUAUAGACCCGAAACCCGGUGAUCUAGCCAUGGGCAGGUUGAAGGUUGGGUAACACUAACUGGAGGACCGAACCGACUAAUGUUGAAAAAUUAGCGGAUGACCUGUGGCUGGGGGUGAAAGGCCAAUCAAACCGGGAGAUAGCUGGUUCUCCCCGAAAGCUAUUUAGGUAGCGCCUCGUGAAUUCAUCUCCGGGGGUAGAGCACUGUUUCGGCCAGGGGGCCAUCCCGGCUUACCAACCCGAUGCAAACUGCGAAUACCGGAGAAUGUUAUCACGGGAGACACACGGCGGGUGCUAACGUCCGUCGUGAAGAGGGAAACAACCCAGACCGCCAGCUAAGGUCCCAAAGUCAUGGUUAAGUGGGAAACGAUGUGGGAAGGCCCAGACAGCCAGGAUGUUGGCUUAGAAGCAGCCAUCAUUUAAAGAAAGCGUAAUAGCUCACUGGUCGAGUCGGCCUGCGCGGAAGAUGUAACGGGGCUAAACCAU
rnacentral:rRNA from 1 species